AGGCAACCUGCCUUUCAGUUUGGGAUAACUUGCGGAAACGGAUGCUAAUACCGAAUACAUCAUCUUUUGGCAUCAGAGGAUGAGGAAAGACGGCGCAAGCUGUCACUGAGAGAUGGGCCUGCGGCGCAUUAGCUAGUUGGUGGGGUAACGGCUCACCAAGGCGACGAUGCGUAGCCGACCUGAGAGGGUGAACGGCCACACUGGGACUGAGACACGGCCCAGACUCCUACGGGAGGCAGCAGUAGGGAAUCUUCCACAAUGGGCGAAAGCCUGAUGGAGCAAUGCCGCGUGAGUGAUGAAGGUUUUCGGAUCGUAAAGCUCUGUUGCCAGGGAAGAACGUCCAGUAGAGUAACUGCUAUUGGAGUGACGGUACCUGAGAAGAAAGCCCCGGCUAACUACGUGCCAGCAGCCGCGGUAAUACGUAGGGGGCAAGCGUUGUCCGGAAUUAUUGGGCGUAAAGCGCGUGCAGGCGGCUUCUUAAGUCGGGUGUUUAAGACCGGGGCUCAACCCCGGCUCGCACCCGAAACUGGGAAGCUUGAGUGUAGGAGAGGAAAGUGGAAUUCCACGU
rnacentral:rRNA from 1 species